rnacentral:lncRNA from 1 species
UGACGCAGCCCCACCGGUUGCGCAGUCCCUCCCCGCCCCCGCUCUCCCCUCCGCAGCCUGCAGCCCGAGACUUCUGUAAAGGACUGGGGCCCCGCAACUGGCCUCUCCUGCCCUCUUAAGCGCAGCGCCAUUUUAGCAACGCAGAAGCCCGGCGCCGGGAAGCCUCAGCUCGCCUGAAGGCAGGUCCCCUCUGACGCCUCCGGGAGCCCAGGUUUCCCAGAGUCCUUGGGACGCAGCGACGAGUUGUGCUGCUAUCUUAGCUGUCCUUAUAGGCUGGCCAUUCCAGGUGGUGGUAUUUAGAUAAAACCACUCAAACUCUGCAGUUUGGUCUUGGGGUUUGGAGGAAAGCUUUUAUUUUUCUUCCUGCUCCGGUUCAGAAGGUCUGAAGCUCAUACCUAACCAGGCAUAACACAGAAUCUGCAAAACAAAAACCCCUAAAAAAGCAGACCCAGAGCAGUGUAAACACUUCUGGGUGUGUCCCUGACUGGCUGCCCAAGGUCUCUGUGUCUUCGGAGACAAAGCCAUUCGCUUAGUUGGUCUACUUUAAAAGGCCACUUGAACUCGCUUUCCAUGGCGAUUUGCCUUGUGAGCACUUUCAGGAGAGCCUGGAAGCUGAAAAACGGUAGAAAAAUUUCCGUGCGGGCCGUGGGGGGCUGGCGGCAACUGGGGGGCCGCAGAUCAGAGUGGGCCACUGGCAGCCAACGGCCCCCGGGGCUCAGGCGGGGAGCAGCUCUGUGGUGUGGGAUUGAGGCGUUUUCCAAGAGUGGGUUUUCACGUUUCUAAGAUUUCCCAAGCAGACAGCCCGUGCUGCUCCGAUUUCUCGAACAAAAAAGCAAAACGUGUGGCUGUCUUGGGAGCAAGUCGCAGGACUGCAAGCAGUUGGGGGAGAAAGUCCGCCAUUUUGCCACUUCUCAACCGUCCCUGCAAGGCUGGGGCUCAGUUGCGUAAUGGAAAGUAAAGCCCUGAACUAUCACACUUUAAUCUUCCUUCAAAAGGUGGUAAACUAUACCUACUGUCCCUCAAGAGAACACAAGAAGUGCUUUAAGAGACUUUUUUCAGAUAACAUCUUCUGAGUCAUAACCAGCCUGGCAGUAUGAUGGCCUAGAUGCAGAGAAAACAGCUCCUUGGUGAAUUGAUAAGUAAAGGCAGAAAAGAUUAUAUGUCAUACCUCCAUUGGGGAAUAAGCAUAACCCUGAGAUUCUUACUACUGAUGAGAACAUUAUCUGCAUAUGCCAAAAAAUUUUAAGCAAAUGAAAGCUACCAAUUUAAAGUUACGGAAUCUACCAUUUUAAAGUUAAUUGCUUGUCAAGCUAUAACCACAAAAAUAAUGAAUUGAUGAGAAAUACAAUGAAGAGGCAAUGUCCAUCUCAAAAUACUGCUUUUACAAAAGCAGAAUAAAAGCGAAAAGAAAUGAAAAUGUUACACUACAUUAAUCCUGGAAUAAAAGAAGCCGAAAUAAAUGAGAGAUGAGUUGGGAUCAAGUGGAUUGAGGAGGCUGUGCUGUGUGCCAAUGUUUCGUUUGCCUCAGACAGGUAUCUCUUCGUUAUCAGAAGAGUUGCUUCAUUUCAUCUGGGAGCAGAAAACAGCAGGCAGCUGUUAACAGAUAAGUUUAACUUGCAUCUGCAGUAUUGCAUGUUAGGGAUAAGUGCUUAUUUUUAAGAGCUGUGGAGUUCUUAAAUAUCAACCAUGGCACUUUCUCCUGACCCCUUCCCUAGGGGAUUUCAGGAUUGAGAAAUUUUUCCAUCGAGCCUUUUUAAAAUUGUAGGACUUGUUCCUGUGGGCUUCAGUGAUGGGAUAGUACACUUCACUCAGAGGCAUUUGCAUCUUUAAAUAAUUUCUUAAAAGCCUCUAAAGUGAUCAGUGCCUUGAUGCCAACUAAGGAAAUUUGUUUAGCAUUGAAUCUCUGAAGGCUCUAUGAAAGGAAUAGCAUGAUGUGCUGUUAGAAUCAGAUGUUACUGCUAAAAUUUACAUGUUGUGAUGUAAAUUGUGUAGAAAACCAUUAAAUCAUUCAAAAUAAUAAACUAUUUUUAUUAGAGAAUGUAUACUUUUAGAAAGCUGUCUCCUUAUUUAAAUAAAAUAGUGUUUGUCUGUAGUUCAGUGUUGGGGCAAUCUUGGGGGGGAUUCUUCUCUAAUCUUUCAGAAACUUUGUCUGCGAACACUCUUUAAUGGACCAGAUCAGGAUUUGAGCGGAAGAACGAAUGUAACUUUAAGGCAGGAAAGACAAAUUUUAUUCUUCAUAAAGUGAUGAGCAUAUAAUAAUUCCAGGCACAUGGCAAUAGAGGCCCUCUAAAUAAGGAAUAAAUAACCUCUUAGACAGGUGGGAGAUUAUGAUCAGAGUAAAAGGUAAUUACACAUUUUAUUUCCAGAAAGUCAGGGGUCUAUAAAUUGACAGUGAUUAGAGUAAUACUUUUUCACAUUUCCAAAGUUUGCAUGUUAACUUUAAAUGCUUACAAUCUUAGAGUGGUAGGCAAUGUUUUACACUAUUGACCUUAUAUAGGGAAGGGAGGGGGUGCCUGUGGGGUUUUAAAGAAUUUUCCUUUGCAGAGGCAUUUCAUCCUUCAUGAAGCCAUUCAGGAUUUUGAAUUGCAUAUGAGUGCUUGGCUCUUCCUUCUGUUCUAGUGAGUGUAUGAGACCUUGCAGUGAGUUUAUCAGCAUACUCAAAAUUUUUUUCCUGGAAUUUGGAGGGAUGGGAGGAGGGGGUGGGGCUUACUUGUUGUAGCUUUUUUUUUUUUUACAGACUUCACAGAGAAUGCAGUUGUCUUGACUUCAGGUCUGUCUGUUCUGUUGGCAAGUAAAUGCAGUACUGUUCUGAUCCCGCUGCUAUUAGAAUGCAUUGUGAAACGACUGGAGUAUGAUUAAAAGUUGUGUUCCCCAAUGCUUGGAGUAGUGAUUGUUGAAGGAAAAA